CAUAAACGACUCUCGGCAACGGAUAUCUCGGCUCACGCAUCGAUGAAGAACGUAGCAAAAUGCGAUACUUGGUGUGAAUUGCAGAAUCCCGUGAACCAUCGAGUUUUUGAACGCAAGUUGCGCCCGAAGCCUUCUGGUKGAGGGCACGUCUGCCUGGGCGUCAC
rnacentral:rRNA from 1 species